GACGAACGCUGGCGGCGUGCUUAACACAUGCAAGUCGAACGGAAAGGCCCUGCUCUUGUGGCUUGCUCGAGUGGGGAGCGCGUGAGUAACACGUGAGUAUCCCCCCCUUGACUUUCGGAUAACACCUGGAAACUGGGGCUAAUACCCGAUAGGAGCUCCUGCUGCAUGGUGGUGGUUGGAAAGUUUCGGCUGUUGGGGAUCGACUCGCGGCUUAUCAGCUUGUUGGUGUGGUAGUGGCUUUCCAAGGCUUUGACGGGUAGCCGGCCUGAGAGGGUGACCGGCCACCAUGGGACUGAGAUACGGAGCAGACUGCUACGGGACGCAACAGUGGGGAAUAUUGCACAGUGGCGGGAAGCCUGAUGCGGCAACGCCGCGUGCGGGAUGACGGCCUUCGGGUUGUGAACCACUUUCGCCUGUGACGAAGCGUGAGUGACGGUAAUGGGUAAAAAAGCACCGGCUAACUACGUG
rnacentral:rRNA from 1 species